UCUAAACCAUAAAUUUUACACCCACCAGGGUACUACCGCUACAUAGCCAAAACCCAAAGAAAUUGGCGGCAUCCUAACGUCCCAGGGGAACCUGUUCUUUAAAUCGAUAAUCCACGUAAACACUACUUUUUUUAGCUUAACCUUCAUACCAGUUUGUGUAUUGCCGUCGAUCAGCUAACUUCGCAAGAAUUUAGUUAGCAUAAAAACCUAAAACGUUUUAACGUCAGGUCAAAAUAUAGCCUAUAAAAAAGAAGAAAUGGGUUACAUUUAUAUCAUAACCAAACAUAGUUUAAUUUAACCUAUAUAAAGAAGGACUUGGAAGUAAAUUUUUUCAAAAUAUAAUAUUGAAUGCAGAAUCUAGGAUGAGC
rnacentral:rRNA from 1 species